GAUGAACGCUAGCGACAGGCUUAACACAUGCAAGUCGAGGGGCAGCGAGGGCGUAGCAAUACGCCUGUCGGCGACCGGCGCACUGGUGAGUAACACGUAUGCGACCUGCCCCCUACAAGGGUAUAACCCCGUAGAAAUGCGGACUAAUCCCCCAUAGUCCCGCGGGCUGCAUGGCCUGCGGGGGAAAGGUUUCCGGUAGGGGAUGGGCAUGCGGCGCAUUAGCUAGUUGGCGGGGCAAACGGCCCACCAAGGGCGACGAUGCGUAGGGGUUCUGAGAGGAAGGUCCCCCACACUGGGUACUGAGACACGGACCAGACUCCUACGGGAGGCAGCAGUGAGGAAUAUUGG
rnacentral:rRNA from 1 species